GGCUCGGUAGCUUAGUUGGUAAAGCACUUGUCUAGCGAAUAAGAGUCGUGGGUUCAAAUCUCACAUGAGCUG
rnacentral:tRNA from 1 species